rnacentral:rRNA from 1 species
UACGUAGGGGGCUAGCGUUGUCCGGAAUCAUUGGGCGUAAAGCGCGUGUAGGCGGUCCGGUAAGUCCGCUGUGAAAGUCGGGGGCUCAACCCUCGAAUGCCGGUGGAUACUGUCGGGCUAGAGUGCGGAAGAGGCGAGUGGAAUUCCUGGUGUAGCGGUGAAAUGCGUAGAGAUCGGGAAGAACAUCGGUGGCGAAAGCGCUCUACUGGACCGCAACUGACACUCAGGGACGAAAGCUAGGGGAGCGAAUGGG